rnacentral:rRNA from 1 species
AUGGAAAAACACCUAAUACCGGCAGAAAACAACUUCAACUCUACAGAAAUGCUAGGAUAUCAAUCUAAUAUGACCAUGGCUGAAGAAGCUCUGUGCCAUCUCCUGAUCAUAUUGGAGGAGCUCCUUCUUUCUGGGCCAUCUCCUGAAUUAAUCUUGCGCCUUGUUGCAAUUGCUUCUUCGAAGCUGCCUUUUAAAAUGCACCUCAUUAGGAAUUUAGUACCACAUAAGAUUCGUCAUUUUCCAUUCUCUGCGCAGAAGGUGCACCAUUGCUUAUUGGCUACAAGAAAUCUUAGUUGUAACAGGGAUCCAGGCUGA